rnacentral:rRNA from 1 species
GGUUUUUUGAUUUUAAUUUAAAAUUUAACCUGCUCAAUGAUUAUUUAAAUAGCUGCAGUAUCGUGACUGUGCAAAGGUAGCAUAAUCAAUAGUUUCUUAAUUGGGAGCUGGAAUGAAUGGUUUGAUGAAAUAUAUUCUGUUUCAUAAUUAAUUUAAUAUAUAAUUUUUUUUUUAGUUAAAAAACUAAAAUAUUAUUAAAAGACGAGAAGACCCUAUAGAUUUUUAUUAUUUAUAUUUAAAUUAAAUUUAAUUUAUUAAAAUUAGAGAAAUUAAUAAUUUGAUUGGGGUGAUUUUUAAAUUUAGUAAACUUUAAAUUUUUGAUGACAAUAAUUAUUGAAUUUAUGAUCUUAAAUUUUAGAUUAAGAGAUUAAAAUACCUUAGGGAUAACAGCGUAAUUUUUUUGGAAAGAUCUUAUUGAUAAAAAAGUUUGC